UGAAGGCAGCUGAUCUGUUUCGAAUCCUGUGUGUCCGGAGAGGCCAACGCUUUCAUUAGCCAGCAGGAAUGGGCUGGGGCGCGUUUGUAGUUGGGAAUCCUGAGCCCGGGCUGUUGCUUGGAGGACUCGGGAGCAGCAGUGGAUUUCGGCGUUACCAGGAGAGCUAUGUAUAGGAAUGCCGCUAUGGAAAGACAUCCAGGACACCUUGUUAAGUGAAAAAAGGUUCAGUAUCUGAACACUUUUGCUAAAGGUCUCUGGAAAGCUCCCUGUGUUAAUUCUCGAUGAGACUACGUCUGUGCCGGCCGCUUCCUGAGCCUCCUUCCAUGUGCAUAGGCCUGCUGCAUGCUGGAGACCUGCGGCACAGCUGCCAAGUGCCCCGUGUGGUUCUGUGAUCUUGGGACAGUCACUUCCUCUCUGUGGUUGUCAGUCUUCUCAUCCCUAAGCACUCAAGAAGCCCUUCCUUCUCUGGCUGUCAAGUCUGGACUCAUCUCUUGUCUUACACACGGACAGUUGUUUUAAGGAAAAGCCCCUGGUUGGACUUGCAGAUUGGGCACAGCCCUGGACGUAUACUACAGAUGGAAUAAAAAGGCCUACCUCAUUGGGCUCGUGUGGGUGAGGAGAACUGAAGAGUCUGAGAGCGCGGCACGAGCCAGAGGCUACGGAAAACACUGCCCUCCUACACUCCACCUUGGAGAGACCCAGAAAAGAACAAGCUUCAUUUGUAAAAAAGGAAAACAACUCAGGCAAUGGGGGUGGCUUAAAGGCACUCUACAGUGUGCAGAUGCCUUCCACUUCUUCCAUCUGCCCUGUCUCUCCAAGAACCCCUAUGGCCCCGGUCUCAGAACAGAGCUGAGUGCAGAAAUGAAAAUCUAUGGCUCUGUGUUCCAAAACGAUGAAGAAUUUCAAGAUGGUGGCAGUGGUAAAAUCUUUCUCCAGGAAAAAUCUGUCCUUGGCCCAAUGUGUAAACACUUGCUGAGUAUUGUGAAACCAGCAACUUGUUCACAAUUCUUCUGAAUUUCUUGGGAAAUUUGAAGUGGAGUACCUGUACCAACAUGAAAUGACACGAAUUUAAGUGACGCUCAACAACGAAAAGCAAAAAGAACCAAAGAGGAAGCAACUGAAACAACAUCUGGAUGUAUUUAAAAAUAUACAAUGCCUCCAAAAUCAGGUGUCAUUAAUGAAAAUUCUGAAGAAAUGCCACCGGACAUAGCCAACGCACCUACGCUGUUGUUAUUCAUUUCCUGCUUUUCACAGAAAACAAUUUUGUUGCAUGGAAGAUCGUGAACUUCAAAGGGCAGAGGGGAAACUGUCCCUUGGCCUCUACCCCUCCAAGGCCCCACUUUUUUGUCAACACUCCUUGGACGCAGCAGAAGUAUGAACAUAAUAUGGUCCUGAAUGAGGCUGAGUCUUUGGGCGCAGAAGACCCGGGUUAAUAAAAAUAGGAAGGUAAGAAAAGAAAAGAAAAAUCAAGACACAUCAUAGGACUAAAUUCCUAUUAUUUAUCCACUCAGGAUUGACCACCCCUUUGGGCCAGAUAGUUGUACCCCCAUGUACCAGGUGGGCACAUGAAGACACAAGAAGUGCUGUGAUGGUUCAUUUUGCACGUCACCUUGCGUGGAGUAUGCCAACUCAUUGUUUGGUCAAACACUAGUCUGGACAUGGUGGUAAAGGUAUUUUUUAGAUGAGAUUAACACUUAAAUCAGUAAAGCAGGUUACCCACCAUACUACGGGUGGGCCCUGUCCAAUCAGUUGAAGGCAUUAAGAACAAAGAUUGAGGUUUCCUAAAGAAGAUGGAAUUCUCCUUGAGACUACAACAUAGAAACCCUAUCUGAGUUUCCAGCCUGUUGCCCUGUGGAAUUCAAACUCAGGACUCCGGUCUAUGACAUUAACCCUCACUUAACUUUUCAGCCUGCCAGCCUGCCCUAUGGAUUUCGGACUUGCCAGCC
ensembl:lncRNA DRAIC downregulated RNA in cancer, inhibitor of cell invasion and migration